CUGGCGGCACGCUUAACACAUGCAAGUCGAACGGAGUUAUCGAGAGCUUGCUUUGAUAACUUAGUGGCGGACGGGUGAGUAACACGUGAGCAAUCUGCCCUUAAGAGGGGGAUAGCAGUUGGAAACGACUGAUAAUACCGCAUAAGAUAGUAGUACCGCAUGGUACAGCUAUAAAAGAUUUAUCGCUUAAGGAUGAGCUCGCGUCUGAUUAGCUAGUUGGUGAGGUAACGGCUCACCAAGGCAACGAUCAGUAGCCGGACUGAGAGGUUGGACGGCCACAUUGGGACUGAGACACGGCCCAGACUCCUACGGGAGGCAGCAGUGGGGAAUAUUGCACAAUGGAGGAAACUCUGAUGCCAGCGAUGCCGCGUGAGGGAAGAAGGUUUUAGGAUUGUAAACCUCUGUUGACAGGGACGAUAAUGACGGUACCUGUUGAGGAAGCUCCGGCUAACUACGUGCCAGCAGCAGC
rnacentral:rRNA from 1 species